rnacentral:rRNA from 1 species
AGCCCAGCUUGCUGGGUGGAUUAGUGGCGAACGGGUGAGUAACACGUGAGUAACCUGCCCUUCACUCUGGGAUAACUCCGGGAAACCGGUGCUAAUACUGGAUAUGACUCCAACCUGCAUGGGUAUGGGGUGGAAAGAUUUAUCGGUGGAGGAUGGACUCGCGGCCUAUCAGCUUGUUGGUGGGGUAAUGGCCUACCAAGGCGACGACGGGUAGCCGGCCUGAGAGGGUGACCGGCCACACUGGGACUGAGACACGGCCCAGACUCCUACGGGAGGCAGCAGUGGGGAAUAUUGCACAAUGGGCGAAAGCCUGAUGCAGCGACGCCGCGUGAGGGAUGACGGCCUUCGGGUUGUAAACCUCUUUCAGCUCUGACGAAGCCUUCGGGUGACGGUAGGAGCAGAAGAAGCACCGGCUAACUACGUGCCAGCAGCCGCGGUAAUACGUAGGGUGCGAGCGUUGUCCGGAAUUAUUGGGCGUAAAGAGCUUGUAGGCGGUUUGUCGCGUCUGCUGUGAAAGCCCGGGGCUUAACCCCGGGUCUGCAGUGGGUACGGGCAGGCUAGAGUGUGGUAGGGGAGACUGGAAUUCCUGGUGUAGCGGUGGAAUGCGCAGAUAUCAGGAGGAACACCGAUGGCGAAGGCAUGUCUCUGGGUCACUACUGACGCUG